AACGAACGCUGGCGGCAGGCUUAACACAUGCAAGUCGAGCGCCCCGCAAGGGGAGCGGCAGACGGGUGAGUAACGCGUGGGAAUCUACCCAUCUCUACGGAAUAACGCAUGGAAACGUGUGCUAAUACCGUAUACGUCCUUCGGGAGAAAGAUUUAUCGGAGAUGGAUGAGCCCGCGUUGGAUUAGCUAGCUGGUGGGGUAAAGGCCUACCAAGGCGACGAUCCAUAGCUGGUCUGAGAGGAUGAUCAGCCACACUGGGACUGAGACACGGCCCAGACUCCGACGGGAGGCAGCAGUGGGGAAUAUUGGACAAUGGGCGCAAGCUUGAUCCAGCCAUGCCGCGUGAGUGAUGAAGGCCCUAGGGUUGUAAAGCUCUUUCACCGGUGAAGAUAAUGACGGUAACCGGAGAAGAAGCCCCGGCUAACUUCGUGCCAGCCGCCGCAGUAACAC
rnacentral:rRNA from 1 species